UACGAAGGGGGCUAGCGUUGUUCGGAUUUACUGGGCGUAAGGCGCACGUAGGCGGUUUGUUAAGUCAGGGGUGAAAUCCCAGAGCUCAACUCUGGAACUGCCUUUGAUACUGGCAAGCUCGAGUCCGGAAGAGGUAAGUGGAACUCCUAGUGUAGAGGUGGAAUUCGUAGAUAUUAGGAAGAACACCAGUGGCGAAGGCGGCUUACUGGUCCGGAACUGACGCUGAGGUGCGAAAGCGUGGGGAGCAAACAGG
rnacentral:rRNA from 1 species